GCCUUGGUGGUGUAGCGGUCUAGCAUGUAGCCCUGUCACGGCUACGACCCGGGUUCGAAUUCUCCAAGAUCCCGAAGAACUAACGUUCUUCGAGGAAAAGGGAAAGUUCCGAAUAUCCCGGCCAAGGCG
rnacentral:tRNA from 1 species